CACAUAAUUCUGAUGUUUUGAUUUGAAAUAAUCAAUACUAAAACAUUUUGCCCCAACUCAUUUGAUUUGAAUGUUACUGAUUUUUCAGAAGGCACAGCCUCAACCAUUCUGGCAAUGUGCUUGGUUUAUUUUCAGAUUUGCGAGGUGACCAGUUUCCAGACAUUGGUUCGCUCCUGCUUGUGUACGCGAUUGGCCGAGACUAAAAAAACUGUAGUGUGCCACCUUAAGGUUUUAGUCGUUUGCUUGUAAGGCAAGAUAGUCCCUGGAGAAGAACUAAAUUACGUCAACAGCCUUGUCAGCGGAAAGACACUCCGUUGCAGUUACUGAAGAUUUGCGAGGUGACCAGUUUCCAGACAUUGGUUCGCUCCUGCUUGUGUACGCGAUUGGCCGAGACUAAAAAAACUGUAGUGUGCCACCUUAAGGUUUUAGUCGUUUGCUUGUAAGGCAAGAUAGUCCCUGGAGAAGAACUAAAUUACGUCAACAGCCUUGUCAGCGGAAAGACACUCCGUUGCAGUUACUGAAGGUUUUAGUCGUUUGCUUGUAAGGCAAGAUAGUCCCUGGAGAAGAACUAAAUUACGUCAACAGCCUUGUCAGCGGAAAGACACUCCGUUGCAGUUACUGAAGGUUUUAGUCGUUUGCUUGUAAGGCAAGAUAGUCCCUGGAGAAGAACUAAAUUACGUCAACAGCCUUGUCAGCGGAAAGACACUCCGUUGCAGUUACUGAAGAUUUGCGAGGUGACCAGUUUCCAGACAUUGGUUCGCUCCUGCUUGUGUACGCGAUUGGCCGAGACUAAAAAAACUGUAGUGUGCCACCUUAAGGUUUUAGUCGUUUGCUUGUAAGGCAAGAUAGUCCCUGGAGAAGAACUAAAUUACGUCAACAGCCUUGUCAGCGGAAAGACACUCCGUUGCAGUUACUGAAGAUUUGCGAGGUGACCAGUUUCCAGACAUUGGUUCGCUCCUGCUUGUGUACGCGAUUGGCCGAGACUAAAAA